AAUUCCUCAAACAAGACUUAUCAUCUCUUAAGAUAAUAGGUAUUUAGAGUGUAUCUGGGAGUAUAUUUACCUAUUCUGGGAAGCUAGUCCUACCCGAUGUCCAACAUUGAGCGCUAGAGUUUAUAGAGAUUUGGGAUUAUUUCUUCCAUUCCCUUUGAGGGCAGAGCAAUUACAGUUUGAGAAAAGGCUUUCUAGGUGUUCAAUACUUUUUACAAAAGUAUCUGUAUACUCUCUAAAUUAAACAAGUUUUUAAAUAGGUCACAUUAUUUAGAUUAAGUCAAUUCUUAGCCCAUUGUAACAACACAAGCAUGAGCAGAAGGACAUUAUUGCUGACACCUUAUGUUGUCAUGAAAAUUGCUUGUAUCUGUGGCUACAGUCCAGAUAUGCUCCCUCCUGAGGACUUCCAAGAAAGAAAAAAGUCUAAUUCCUUUUGAAGCAGUGGGGGUGGGGGGGAGGCUUGUUGACCGGCCAGGACUACAUUCGCGUGAGGACUGAGGAGGCUGUGGGGAAGAAGGAGUGUUCAGACGAGACCAGCUGGACCCAGCAUUGAAGGUGAGCUGUCUUACUCGGUCUCCCUACUGUAGAAGGUUUAUGAAACAGCAGAGCCCGUAUUUUGUUGGCCCUCCUGUGUUGCUCUGUAACCAAGGCUGCCUUCAGACAACGUGAACAAAACGCUCUGGCUCCCGCGCACAGCGUGGUAUUUACCCAUUUGAAAGUGCUACCACUGCUGUUUCAACGGUGAUGUUUAAGCUCGGCCGCUGGUCAUUUUCACCCUGCUGGGUCCCUAUGGACAUCGAAGAGUCCCACAUUUUGCAGUGUCUCAGCCGGGGCCCCGGAGCACGUCUUGAAGAUUAGGCUGCUUGCCAGGUCCUGAUGCAGGGGACAAGACUGUCACGGUGGUCCCCUUAGACAGUAGGGCUUUUGACCUUGGGCUUUGCUAAGAGUCCUCAGAGGACGCCGAGAAGUUACCCGGAACAGGAGAUCUGGCUCAGGAAUCCCCACCAGCGACCGACAGGGCAUCUGCAGAGAGAAAACCAGAAGCGGGAAUCCCUGAGACUUCACUCCACCAGUCAACAGAGGCGAAUAUUUCUGGCGUCCAAAAGAACAGGCCCCCAUUGUGCGGCCCUGCCCUGGGCAGCUUGGCGCCGGGGGCGCUGUCUGCAGCCUUUUGAGACACCAUCUUUGAGGGUGCAUGAGGACCCCUGGGGUGCAGACACAGGACAGCCCCAGACUCACCCUGACCUGGGUGACUGCGGGCUGCCUCUGCUCCCCUCUCCCAGGCAUCUAGCACCAAAGAACCGUCCAAACCUCAUGAACAGGAAUAAUGGUGUCCAGAGCUUGGCACUUGUAAGCCAACCUUUCACCCCUUUCUCAAAGACCACGUGUCUAAGUGUCUGGAAUGGACAAGGGCAGGCGACGAGUGACCGAGCCUUCAGCCCUCCCUGGCUUUCAAGCUCAACUAACAGGGUUCUCUGCCUUGUUGUAGAAUGAGCCGUUUGGAGAGACAGAACCAGUGGGAUAUACAGAGACACGCACAAGAGCACAUUUAUUAUAGGAAUCGACUCGUGUGCUCAUGGGGCCUGAGAAGUCCCAUCAUCUGCCCUCUACGAGCAGAAGAAUCCCGUAUAAUUCGGCCUGAGUCUGCAGGCUUGAGAACGGGGAGAUGGAUGUUGUAAGUCCUGGAGUGAGUCCGAGAGCCAGAGAAGCAAGGGGAUGGAUCGGUCUGAGGGCCGGAGAUGGUGGUGGUCUCCACUCAAGCAGAGGGAGAGCAUUCGCCCAUCCCUCACUGGUUUGUUCUCUUGGAAGGUUGGAUGAAACCCACGGGCAUUGGUGAGGACCGGUCUUCCUCACUCAGUCCACCCAUUCAGAUGGUAAUCUCUCCCGGAGACCCACUCAGAAAUCAGAUUACACCAGCUCUCUGGGCAUCCGAUAGCCUGUCAAACAGACACAAACAAAUGAACCGUCACAGUCUUCCCCAGGAGGGUCUGGUAAAAGUUGGGUGUUGGUAUCUAGAGAUAAUGGCUUGGCCUCGUCUUCCCCAGUAGACCAGCUCUUCCAUAUUCUUAGCUCUAACUACACACGUGCUCUCCAAGCAGGGGCUCCUGUCACCUGUCUGUUGGACAUCUGCUUCAUUUGACUGUCGAAAAGAUUAAAUGAGAUACUGUGUGUGGUAAUAAAAGUAAUUACAGUUGUA